rnacentral:rRNA from 1 species
CCUACGGGGGGCAGCAGUAGGGAAUCUUCCACAAUGGGCGAAAGCCUGAUGGAGCAACGCCGCGUGGGUGAAGCAGGUCUUCGGAUCGUAAAACCCUGUUGUUAGAGAAGAAAGUGCGUGAGAGUAACUGUUCACGUUUCGACGGUAUCUAACCAGAAAGCCACGGCUAACUACGUGCCAGCAGCCGCGGUAAUACGUAGGUGGCAAGCGUUAUCCGGAUUUAUUGGGCGUAAAGGGAACGCAGGCGGUCUUUUAAGUCUGAUGUGAAAGCCUUCGGCUUAACCGGAGUAGUGCAUCGGAAACUGGGAGACGUGAGUGCAGAAGAGGAGAGUAGAACUCCAUGUGUAGCGGUGAAAUGCGUAGAUAUAUGGAAGAACACCAGUGGCGAAAGCGGCUCUCUGGUCUGUAACUGACGCUGAGGUUCGAAAGCGUGGGUAGCAAACAGGAUUAGAUACCCUAGUAGUC